UACGGGGGGAGCAAGCGUUGUUCGGAUUUACUGGGCGUAAAGGGCGCGUAGGCGGCCAGCGCAAGUCAGUUGUGAAAUCUCCGGGCUUAACUCGGAAAGGUCAACUGAUACUGCGCGGCUAGAGUGCGGAAGGGGCAACUGGAAUUCUUGGUGUAGCGGUGAAAUGCGUAGAUAUCAAGAGGAACACCUGCGGCGAAGGCGGGUUGCUGGGCCGACACUGACGCUGAGGCGCGAAAGCCAGGGGAGCGAACGGG
rnacentral:rRNA from 1 species